UACGUAGGGGGCAAGCGUUGUCCGGAUUUAUUGGGCGUAAAGAGCGUGUAGGCGGCCAGAUAGGUCCGUUGUGAAAACUCGAGGCUCAACCUCGAGACGCCGAUGGAAACCGUAAGGCUAGAGUCCGGAAGAGGAGAGUGGAAUUCCUGGUGUAGCGGUGAAAUGCGCAGAUAUCAGGAGGAACACCCGUGGCGAAAGCGGCUCUCUGGGACGGUACUGACGCUGAGACGCGAAAGCGUGGGGAGCGAACAGG
rnacentral:rRNA from 1 species